rnacentral:misc_RNA from 1 species
AGCCGCCCAAGGGCAAAUUGGCAUUGUUCUGGGACGAUUGAUUAGACGUGUCCAGCCCUUAUUAAUGGAUGACCGAGGGCGGAUUUGAGAAGCAGUCGUGACGAUGAAAUAGGAUAAAGAGGCACGGAGAGAGAGAAAAUAGCGCCGAAAUCUGUCCCGCCCAGAUACUGAUUUGUUCAUGACCAAAAUUCUUCCGACGUUGUUAAUCUUUCGGAGCUGUGAGGUCUUUUUUCGCUUAAUUUCAUAAAGUUCUCUUUGAAGAAUUGUAAGGACAUAAGUGGGCUGCUGGUCCUGUUAGGGCUGGCUUCAUUUGUUCAAUCACGGCUCUAAAAAUAGAAACACGUAUUAAGAUUAGACGGGGAAGAUCAUGUGUACGAGCAUUCCCUAAGUUUUUGAUUGCAUCCCCUUCAUUUCACGGUGGUCGUGGUGCCCUACCUUCAGCAGGUGGGCAUCCAGCAGAUCUUACCUUCCUUGCUGGUGGUGGGUACUGACACAAGCAUCUGAACAAUCUGACCUUCCUUGACUUGGAGGGUGCUGGAACAGCAAUUUGAAUACAGUAUUUAAUUUUAUUGUGGAUUUGAAAAUUACUCUGUUUAAGCAUGGUUACAGUCAAGCCAAUUGCUGAUAACAAUUUACUGUUGAGAUGUGCAACUGAACAGUUGGGUUGUCCUCAUUUCUGCUCUCAAGGCAUCAAAAUUCCCAUUUAUUGCUUUGGCACCAAAUAUCUCAUUGACAAUAGCUUAUUUGGGGGGGUUUCACACAUUUCUGAAGAAGAGCAAAGUCUAUUGGAUUCUCUUCACCUUGCACAGGUAAAGAAGAAAAUGUGUUAGGCCCUCUUCGUUUUGCCCAGGUAUAGAACAAAAGUGUUCCCUGAUUUCUUAAUGAAAUGUAGCCAUAAUCUUUUCUUGUUGCAUUCCAGUGGGAAGAGAGAAUGUGGAAAGGUCAUUUCAAAUAUGACAUUACUGCCUCUGAGAUUAAGGUUUUAUUUUCUUUAGUAGUCUUCUUUUGGCGAGAAAUAAGUUAAAUAUAAUGGAGAACUGAUAGUUAAUUUAUACAGGUUAUUAGGGGUAGAAGAAAGUUUCUUGCUCAGUUAAAUAGUGACCGGAGUAUGGAUGGUUUACAAGACCUUAAGAAGCAUAAAAUGUGCCAUCAAGAGGACGUGCUUGUGUUUGAGCAGACCAAGCACUGUGAAGAAUUACUGUUUUGCAUUACAAAUGGUGACAAGGCAGACUCUGAGCUUAUUCCUUCAGCUGCUGUGCCUAAUGAUGCAAUCUUGAUUGUUAUCAAUGUAAACCCAGUUGAAUAUGGCCAUGUCUUCCUAGUACCUCAUGGCUUUGACAGUCUUUACCGGUUCCUGGAUGCAAGAUUCUUGGAAAUGGUUGUGAGGGUUGCUGUUGAGAUAAAUAAUUGUUCUUUCCGUUUAUUCUACAAUUGUCCCCGACAUUCACGUCUCUAUUUCCAGGCCUGCUACUUUCCAGAUCUUUUACCAGUGGAGCACAUGCCUGUUGAUAUCUUAUUUGAUGCCGGACAAAAAGGAAUUCACAUCUCUACUGUCAUAGAUUACCCUAUCAAAACCCUCCUCUUUGCGAGCAACUGCAAUUUUAAGAUCAUGGUGGAGGUUCUUGCUGAGACAUGUUCUUGUUUACUGGACCAGGACAUCCCUUAUAACCUGAUGAUAUCAGAUUGUGGCAAAAAGGUUUUUUUGUUUCUUCAGGUAAAAUGGCGAUGUGAUUGUUCUAUCCUGUAUUUUAUACCAUGUGAAGGAGAUUUGUUUUUGAUCCAUUCUUCUCUUGAAUUAAUCUCCCUUGUUGGUUAAAGAGGUAAUCCUGCAGAGGUUUUUAUCCCCUCACAUUUUAUGGACGUACAUUCUCUGCCAAUUUUACUUAAUUGGCUUUGAUUUUGCUUGGCUAUGACAUCUGACUGGAUGCGAACAUCUUUGGCGUGCUAUAAUCUGGAAGAGGACUGGAGAGAAACACAUAUGCACAUGUGCACACACAUAAGAAGAGGAAGAAAGAGGUCUCGUUGACCUUCUAAAAGUUGAUUUUUGAAUUUUGAAAUAUCUUUGUGUUGGAAUGAUGUUUAUAUAUUUUAUUUUACAGUGAAGGACCAGGUUUUCUAUGUCAUUUUAUGACCCGAAAUAGACCAGCACAGCAGGGGAAAGAAAUACUAGGAUUAUUUGAUAAAUCAAGAUGUGGGUUAGAAUUUACUGGUUCAACUCAAAUUUGGUAUAUGCCAGCCUGUGAUGGUAUGGAAUUUAUGACCAUGUAUAUAAUGUCCCAUAUUAAUCUUAGCUUAAGUUCCGAUUCUGACUUAACCUCUUACUAAAUAUUUGGACAAAAUUAUGAAAUUGCCAACAAUGUUAACUUUGGGCGAUGUUGAUCUCAGCUGAAAUUUAAUUAUCUUAAUUAUUUAUUGUGGAUUCGUUGUCCGCAGGCCCAAACAUUUUCAACCCCCUGCAACCUUUCAGCAUGGGAGUGUGGAGGCUAUUUCUUGUUCAAGUCUAGGCAGGAAUUUGACGAAGUUACAGAGGCAGUCUUGCUUAAACGUCUAAGCACCGUCUCACUUUAUGAUGAAGGCUUUGCAACAGUUAAAGAGUUGUGUUGCAGGAUUGCUUGUGAGAUUGCUUUUUGAACUUUGAUUAUCUGAUAUUGGGUAACAAUUAUCACAAUGUACCAUUCCAUGUUGCCUGUGCUUGGGAACCAAGACUAGAACGUCGUUGGUUGGUUCUUGCUAGUUGGGGACGUUGUUGUCGAUGACCAGAGCUUGUCCCAGGUAGUUCUUGGGUACUCUUGUUUUCUGUGUCCAGUGCAUUUUAUCCAUUCAUGUGGAUUACCAUGCGUUUCAUGAUUGUUCUGUGGCUGGAACUUAAAAUGUAGUGAAAUGAAAAAGUCAAAAACCAUUUAAUUCACUUCUUAAAACGUUACUAUUCAAAUGUUAUGUCUUGCUGAAUGAGCUUUGGCAGUCUAAAUUCAAUAUCCAAAAAAAAUAAUACUCUACCAGUAAUUCAAUAUGAAAUUAUCAUGAAAAGGGGGGGAAAAAAAGGAAGUCUCGAGCGUCAACUAGAAAUCACUCUGUAAGUUGCAUCUGCAUAUAGAUACUAGGUUUAGUUGAAACACAUCAUGCGUUUCGAAUUCGUACUGAAUAUCGCUUUAAUUAAAACAGGGGUUUCUUGGAACUGUGAGGUCUCCGGGAGAGAGAUUUAUAAGGCUUUCAAGCGUGUGCAAUAAUGAAAAACAAACAAAAUCAUUGUCAACUAAGUUUAAAAGAAAAAAAAAAAUCAUUGUUAACCAAAAAUAUGAAAUUGAUCGAGUCGGAUACAUUUAGAAUUUCUAUGAAGGUAUUUCGACUUGGGCGAGCAGAUGGAGGUCCUUCCAGGUAAAUUUCAUGUAAAGAACAAAAAAUUACAACCAAUACAAUAUUAAAAAAAAGUAUCAUGACUAUGUACUAAUUUACCUCCCUCACUAUAUAUAACCACUGUAGAGUUUCUGCUCAAUGCUUAAUCAGAAAGAACAAAAUAAAAGAAUAGAUAACACUAAAACAUCAUAAUACCAAUUUAAUGACCACAUCUAUGCAUAUACUCUGGAUUCUUUCACCCAUCACUUUCACAUUUACUAGUCCCUUCAUUGGAAGGUUGCUGCUCCUUUCCUUGCACUCUCUCUUCUAGAUCCUCCAUUGCCUGAUUACCUGAUAUAGAGCUUUCUGUAACACCGGCAAUCUUCCAAGCUUCAUGCAGUUGCAAGACAUAUUCCAAAUGCCACAAAACUUCCCCCAUUGUAGGCCGAUUCUUCCCUUCAUCUGCAAGACAUUUUUCUGCUAUCUCCCCAAACUUUUUCAGUGACUCAGGGCAGUAAUUUCCAGUCAGAUUUGGAUCAGUGAUGGUUUCGAGUGAUCUUUGCCGCUGCCACCUCAUUGCCCACUCUGCGAGAUUGAUCUGAUCUUUUGGCAAGCUUGGAUUUAUAACAGCUCGAGCACAAACAACUUCAAAUAACACUACACCAAAAGAGUAAACAUCAGAUUUCUCAGUUAACUGCUGUCGACGAAAAUAUUCAGGGUCAAGAUAUCCAAAGCUUCCUUUCACUGCUGUACUAACAUGGGUGUGGUCCCAAGCUGGACCAGUUUUCGACAACCCGAAAUCCGACAUUUUUGCUACAAAAUUUUCAUCAAGCAGUAUGUUGGUUGUCUUAACAUCCCUGUGAAUUAUCCCCCGGUCUGCUCCUGUAUGAAGGUAAUGAAGUCCCCGUGCAGCGCCAAUGCAUACUUCUAGCCUCUGCUUCCAAGUUAAGGGAGGAAGAUCACUCCCAAAAAGAUGACUUCUAAGAGUCCCAUUUGCCAUGUACUCAUAAACCAAGAUCAUCUCAUUCUGCUCUUCACAGAACCCAAUCAUGGAGACCAGAUGCCUAUGCCUCAGCUUUGAGAGCAUCUCAAUCUCCGUUUCAAAUUCAGCCAGGCCUUGCUCAGAUUGUGGGUUUGCUCGCUUGAUUGCACCAAGGGUUCCAUCUUCAAUUUCCCCUUUGUACACUUUGCCAAAACCUCCAACUCCAAUCACCAAACUUUCAUCAAAAUUAUUCGUUGCAGCACGAAUCUCUGCCAAUGUAAACCGCUUGCCCACUCUAGUGGAUGCAGUAGAUCCAUAUGAAUUUUGGACUCCUCCCUUACCAUGACCUAUGCUACUUACAAUAGAACCAUGCAGGAAGAGUGGCCGCCAUCCAGUAGCAUUGUCUUUGGUGUCACUCAAUUCUUUUUUACGAGUUCUGCAAAAGAAAAAGACGAGAAUAAAUGCAGUCGCAAGAAUGAGGAUACAAACUCCACCUGCUCCAAUUACCACCCAAAGAAUCCAAGAUUUUGAAUUUUUUAUAGAAUUCCCAGCUGAAUCGAACUUCUCAACAUAAGCAAGAUUCCCAUUUCGACUCAGCUUGAAAAUCUCCAGCCCAUUCAGCAAAGCAUCAGUUCCUGAAGCACCAGCUGCAGUGUCAGGGCCCAGUUGAAUCCACAGCGUGUUGAUAUUGGAGGAGACUGCAUCAAAAUAAUCUUGAUGAUAUGCUUUAUUCUCCCCCCCUGCUCGCACAUAGACAUCAAAGUUAUCAGCAGCUGUCCUAUUGUUUAUAUAGAUCCUGAAAAUCCUCCGGUUUGCCCUGUCAUACUCCAGUUCACAGAAAUGUAACCGGACUAAAUAAUCAAAAUCAGGAUCCACUUCAAAUUUCCAUGACAUAUUAAACCUUUUCUCUAGGACUUCAGUGUUGGACAUAGUUCUUGCUGUUUCAUAAACAAGAAGAGGAGCCACUGAGGAAUCGUUAAUAGAAGCAUAGGUUAUAUUUGAACUAUUAUGGAUUUCAAAACCAGCAUUUUCUAUGAUCAUGUAGCUGGAAUCCACUUCCCACGUCCUCCAGAAGUCUGAAUCCUGUUUAGGUUUGAUCUCAGGGCCCCCAACAUUCAACCUGUACAUAGUUUCAAUCCCCUGUCUGCCCAACUUGAGAUUUGCAUCAUUUCCCCCUACUUUACUGACAGUUUCUUUGAAAAGAUUAUCCGCUGCAGGGACAAUCUCUAUGGCAUUUAUGAACCCAAAUGAUCCUUUAGAUGGAACAAACUCAAGCACAAGAACAUCCAAAAUGAAUAGAAUGUACUCUCUAACCAAAGAGAAAGAACUUGAAUUGCUACUGGAGCUCUGCAAGUACGAAUUCUUAUGUGAAAUCUCGCUCGGAACAUUUAACUCAGACACCAGUUUCAGACCAUUAGCCAUGAUAGUAAACGAGGAUUCAUUUACAGUAUAAUUAUCAAAAGGGAAAGGACAGAAAUGGAGUCUAAUAAAGUAAUUUCCCUUAAUUCCUUCAAAUGUGUAGUUAAGAGCAUCAGUGAAGAUCCGAGCAGUUCCAUAUAAUGACCCCAAGGUGGAAACACCACUUGCAUUAAAGGUGGUGGUGGACAAAGGGGAAGAAGCAAGGGUGAAAUUAUUGUUAGGAACCAUGUCUCCAAUCCAUCUCCUAUCGUCCACAUUAACACUGGUAUUCGUCCCACAAUUUAUAAAAAAAGAUUUUGACUCAACUUCUCCAGCGCUAACAGACAUGAAUAUUAUCACCAGAUAGAGAAGACCCAAGAGCUCUCCCUUCUGGAUCUUCUCCAUUACUACUUUCCCUCAAGAACCCUGAUGAGAUGAGACUCCUCUAUUAUAUACAGAUUUCUUAAAGAGAGAAAAAUGCGAAAAUCGAUUUGGUUAGCUAAAAUCAAUCAAUAUGCAAGAAUGAACAGUGCCUUGUAAAAUGCACGAAAAUCCCAGUAGACUACUUCAUCUCCUAGAAUUUGAUCAUCAAGCCUCAUAAAAUAAUUUUACAUAAUAAAGCAGAAUCAACAAGUCUCCAAGUUACUAACAGAAACAUCAAGUUACCUUCACGAAUCUCGUAUGGGCAAUGGAAUUCCAAGCUUUAGAUGCAUGAAAGCUUUGCAACAAGAAUGCUCAUGAAAACCCUCCCAAACUUCAAAUCAACACUGCCCAGUUAAUUUGGAGAUCUGAACCGAGAACAACUAUACAAGAAAUGGUGGAGGCUGAAAAUAAUAGCGAAAGAAAAAUAUAAUAUUGCGAUUGACAAACUUUUUCUUUCUCGCCAGUGAAGAUGCUCAGCUGAAACCCAGAGAAAUGCAAGAAAAGGGAGUUCUUGAAAGAUUAAGCGAGAGAAAGAGAGAGAUGGGGUUAUCUAAGCAAGAAACCAGAACAUGGGUUAUAGUUGGAAACAGAUUGGGAAUUUUCAAUUCAUCUUGCCAUUGUUAGUUGUAAGCUUUACAAAAGAGACAAGAAUGUGAAAUAAAUUAUUCUAAAGUUCACCAAAAUCUAUUGAUUUUACAUUA